CCACCUGCUACUCCUCUCUGAGCUACUUUUCCAGGUUCCACAGGGAGAGGUUCAGCUGUCCGUGGUAGACAUGAGGGUAGAGAAUGAGGUGGUUGGGUUCCACUUACCUUUCUAUCAUCUUGCAGUAUGGAUGUCUCUUGACUGGUACCGUGUAGACUUUUGAGGGCACACAGGAGUCUGCAGAGAGAUACUGGGGACAUUGAGCAGCAGCAGUGGGGUUGGGAGGCAGAAAUGAGGACAGGAACAUUUACCUUGUGUUUCUCUCAGCUUCUCAGAUGACCAAGAUGGUGCUGCAGAUGGUGCUGAGGAUGGAGAACCCACCAAGCCCCGCUAGGAGCCACCUAGACUGGAUGCAGAGCAUGGCCCCAGCACCCGCAGAGCAGACACUGCGAUGACAACGGACGACACAGAAGUGCCCGCUAUGACUCUAGCACCGGGCCACGCCGCUCUGGAAACUCAAACGCUGAGCGCUGAGACCUCUUCUAGGGCCUCAACCCCAGCCGGCCCCAUUCCAGAAGCAGAGACCAGGGGAGCCAAGAGAAUUUCCCCUGCAAGAGAGACCAGGAGUUUCACAAAAACAUCUCCCAACUUCAUGGUGCUGAUCGCCACCUCCGUGGAGACAUCAGCCGCCAGUGGCAGCCCCGAGGGAGCUGGAAUGACCACAGUUCAGACCAUCACAGGCAGUGAUCCCGAGGAAGCCAUCUUUGACACCCUUUGCACCGAUGACAGCUCUGAAGAGGCAAAGACACUCACAAUGGACAUAU
rnacentral:sRNA from 1 species